rnacentral:rRNA from 1 species
AGAGUUUGAUCAUGGCUCAGAUUGAACGCUGGCGGCAUGCCUACACAUGCAAGUCGAACUGGGUAACGGGGGCAAGCCUGGCGACGAGUGGCGAACGGGUGAGUAAUGCUCGGAUACGUGCCCAGUAGUGGGGGAUAGCCGGCGAAAGCCGGAUUAAUACCGCAUACGACCUACGGGUGAAAGCGGGGGACUCGCAAGAGCCUCGCGCUAUUGGAGCGGCCGAUGUCAGAUUAGCUAGUUGGUGGGGUAAAAGCCUACCAAGGCGACGAUCGGUAGCUGGUCUGAGAGGACGACCAGCCACACUGGGACUGAGACACGGCCCAGACUCCUACGGGAGGCAGCAGUGGGGAAUUUUGGACAAUGGGCGCAAGCCUGAUCCAGCCAUGCCGCGUGCGGGAAGAAGGCCUUCGGGUUGUAAACCGCUUUUGGGAAGAAAGGGGGUAAUGACGGUACCUGAAGAAUAAGCACCGGCAUAUAACUACGUGCCAGCAGCCGCGGUAAUACGUAGGGGCAAGCGUUAAUCGGAAUUACUGGGCGUAAAGCGUGCGCAGGCGGUUAUGCAAGACAGAUGUGAAAUCCCCGCCAACAGGGCUCUACAACCUGGGAACUGCAUUUGUGACU